UACGUAGGGGGCAAGCGUUGUCCGGAUUUACUGGGCGUAAAGCGCGCGCAGGCGGUUCUGUAAGUCCUGGGUGAAAUCGCCCGGCUCAACUGGGCGGGGGCCUGGGGGACUGCGGGACUGGAGGGGCCUAGAGGCCGGUGGAACUCCCGGUGUAGUGGUGAAAUGCGUAGAGAUCGGGAAGAACACCAGUGGCGAAGGCGGCCGGCUGGGGGCGCCCUGACGCUGAGGCGCGAGAGCGUGGGGAGCGAACCGG
rnacentral:rRNA from 1 species